ensembl:rRNA 5S_rRNA 5S ribosomal RNA
UACUACAGCGGUGCCACCCUGAACAAGCCCGAUGCCAUCUGAUCUUGGAAGCUAAGCAGGGUCGGGCCUGGUUAGUACAUGGAUGGGAGGCACCACCUUAGGAAGACCAGGUGCUUAGGUGU